rnacentral:rRNA from 1 species
UACGGGGGGGGCAAGCGUUGUUCGGAAUUACUGGGCGUAAAGGGCUCGUAGGCGGCCAACUAAGUCAGACGUGAAAUCCCUCGGCUUAACCGGGGAACUGCGUCUGAUACUGGUUGGCUUGAAUCCGGGAGAGGGAUGUGGAAUUCCAGGUGUAGCGGUGAAAUGCGUAGAUAUCAGGAGGAACACCGGUGGCGAAGGCGGGUCUCUGGGCAGUAACUGACGCUGAGGAGCGAAAGCGUGGGGAGCGAACAGG